UUUGCUUGUUAUGCUUGUUGGUAGCAUUAGCUAUAAUUAAUCUGAACUCUAAAUUCUGCUCUAAGUCUCUUACUUCAGCUGCUUAAUAUUUUCCCAAAUCCCCUCCUGAUAGUUUUUUUUUUUUUUUCCUCACAUGGUCUUUUGUAAAAUGGUGAAUUUUGGUGAGACAGAUGAAGAAAACAAGGGACUAAUGUUUGUUUAAUUUUGUUGGUUUAAUCUGUUUGUACUUCCUCUGCUUGUGGGUGCUAAAAUAAUUGUAGCAAUAAUAAGAUAACUGGGUGGGAUUAGGUACCUCUAGCUACAGGGUAAAAUUAAGGAUAAAUACAGCUGUUUCUGUAAUUGGCAUUCAGAUAAAGGCUACCUCUGGUGGGGCUGGAGCUUUAGACAAACCUGUCUGGAGCAGAUGGUGCAGAGUUCUCUCUGAUCUAAGACAUGCUAUUAUCUACAGACACCCAGGGUAACAGAAACCUUGACACAGCAUUGGUAGAUACAGCACUGUAGCAAUGGAAGACCUGUACCAUGUUGAUCCAGCUGGAUGCUAAAGGAUACCUAAGGAAACCUAAGGAUAACUAAAAUGAAUUCAGACAUAAUGAUAUUGGACACUAAAGGAUUUCCACCACCAGCAACAACUGGAAAGAAGUUCAGCUGAUCAGUAGUAGAUGUAUCCUUUCAAGUGAACAAAAUAACUCACUUUGCUUCCACAAUGUCAUACAACAGUUCUCUGACAACUGGCAAAAAGAAUAAGGCAAUAUAAUUCAAGACAAGCUAUAAAGAAAAUUAUAAUGUUCAAGGGUUAAACUUUUCAUUAGUUUUUGUUGUGAACAAUUUUAUCCAAAUGUGUUUGGUGACAGUGUUUAGAAAGGAGGUGAAGGAACCCUUCACAGUAAAUUACAAAAGCAGAGUGUUAAUGGCUUAGCUGGGGUCUAUUUUCCAG
rnacentral:lncRNA from 1 species